rnacentral:rRNA from 1 species
UACGAAGGGGGCUAGCGUUGCUCGGAAUGACUGGGCGUAAAGGGCGCGUAGGCGGAUGGUACAGUCAGAUGUGAAAUUCCCGGGCUUAACCUGGGGGCUGCAUUUGAUACGUGCGAUCUGGAGUGAGGAAGAGGGUCGUGGAAUUCCCAGUGUAGAGGUGAAAUUCGUAGAUAUUGGGAAGAACACCGGUGGCGAAGGCGGCUCUCUGGGACGGUACUGACGCUGAGACGCGAAAGCGUGGGGAGCGAACAGG